rnacentral:tRNA from 1 species
CCCCCUAAAAAUAAUAUCGCAGCAAACGAACUCAUUAGUAACAUGUUUGCGUACUCUCCAAGAA